AAAGAAUCUUCCUGAGAAGAUAGGGCAAGAGCUUGGAUCAUGAAUGAUGGAGCAGAGGGCAGGACUUUUGUCUAAACGUAUGACAGCCCCGGCAGUGUAUACCCUCAGGCUUCAAGCUCCAGAGAACCCAAGAUGUAAAGUGGAGACUGCAAUUGUCAGCAAUUCCACACACUGAGAAACACAGGUAAAGAGGCUGCAUGUGUAACAUUUCCAGCUUGAACUGAAAACACCACUGGUUUAAUCCAGAGACAGAAGCACCUUUUGAGUCCCAUCCCAUG
rnacentral:lncRNA from 1 species